GGCUGUGAAACUGGAGCUGCUGCUGCUGCUGCUGCAGGGGUCCCAGAAAGAAGCUGACUCCGCACAAAGCCCAGAGGAGAGCCGGAGACACAUCACAGAGCCCUGAAGCUGGCCCAACCCCAGCACUGUCUUGUUACGUAAGCCAGUAAAUCCUCAUUCGGGUUGUCCUUUCGUUUUCCUCCAAGAGUCAUUUGCUCAACGUUGACCAGCACACCACUAGCUGACUCUCCAAUCAGAAAUCUCCAUUCGGUGAGAAAACUGAGUCACAAAGAGCUUUAUUAACUUGUCCAAGUGUACACACAGUUGAUUGUAGGAUCUGAUUGUUGCUCUUAGCCAGGACUUUGCAUCACUACUGGAAAGUGAAUACCAGCUUGGACAGCCUGCCGUCCUUAAUGGGGAGAUGAAAAGGGAAUCUUUCCAACCCAGAGAUCGAACCCAGGUCUCCCACAUUGUGGGUGGAUUCUUUACCAGCUGAGCCACAAAGGAAACCCAAGAAUACUGGAGUGGGUAGCCUAUCCCUUCGCCAGUGGAUCUUCCUGACCGAGGAAUUGAACAGAGGUCUCCUACAUUACAGGCAGACUCUUUAUCAGCUGAGCUGGAAGGGGCAUCAACAACUCAUUUAUGUAUAUGCUUUUACAUACACACACACAUAUGCAUUUAUGUAUGAAAAAUGAUGUGAUUUAAUGUUAAUAUGAACAUAUUAACAGACACUGCAAGGUCCAGAGGAGGGCAGACAGUGCAGUCUCUCCUGUUCUCAGCCACCCAGUCCCCUCUGCAGGGGGCUAGUCUGUGCAUAGACAGGCGAAUAUAAAUAUGUUAGCAAAUUCUUUCUUCCUUCCCUCCAUCCUUUCCUCUGCUCUCCCCCCACAAAUGGUCACUCAGGGAUAAGCUGUUCUCUACCUUGCAUUUUCCAUGGACCAUCAUGUCCAGCUGCAUUCUUGAAGCGCUUCCUCACCCUCUUUUAUGGCUGCCUAAUGUGCCUUUGAUUGGGAUGGCAUCAUUUGCCUAACCAGGUCAUUUCUGAUGAGCAUGUAGAUGUGUAAAUUUUUUUGCUUUUUUCAAGCAGCAGAUUUGGGGGACAGUAACAUUAGGGUGCUUCACCUGGGUCGGAUCGAACUUGGACAGGGAAGAGUCUUGGAGGGGAUGCGGGGAAGUUUGUGGCUGGGAGUUGAGAGCAUCUGGGGCUUAGGGAUGAGUUGCUGGGCUUCCUGGAGGGCGGACUGCAAUCAGGGGACCAUGCGUCUGUGGCGGCUCCAGUCACGGAGUGGGGUCCCUCCAGCAGAGCUCAGCAACCCCAUUGCUGGCUCCAAGGAGGUGGACUUUGCGAUUUGUCCAUAGUUGCUUGUUUUCCAGAAGGGCUCUGAAAGUUGAGAAUUUUAAUAAGAUCCUUGGCAGGGGGUGAGGGGGUCUCCUCCAGCUCUCCUUACCCCUGCUGGGUUCCAGUGUCUCUAGACAGACUGAACCCCUGUGGUGAGGAGCCUGGCCACUGGAGCUAGACCCCCAAGUUUGAAUCCCAGGCCACUUCUUAGCUCUCUGACCUCGGGCAAGAUUCUGGGCCUCUACACUUGAGUCUCCUCAUCUAGACAUGCACUUCAUAAGAAUACCUACCUUAGAGGGCUGCGGUGACUACUGAGUUCAUACCUGCUCAGUGAUUAGAACAAGGCCUUGCACGCAGUAACAGCUCAAUAAACUUUAACUAUUGUUGAUUAUCAUUCAUAUUAUUGUUGCUGAACAAGCCCUCAGGAUUCUCAGCACGAACUCCCAGCUCCCCUUCCUGCCCUAUAAAGUCCUUCCAAAAUCUGCCUCCUCUGGUCUCUUCCAAGAAGGCAGCCUGAUCAGACCCUCACGCCCCUGCCUUUCCUGCUGCCCUAUGUCAUUGUUCCUCAGCAGGUGUAUCCAGUAAAUAGAUCAGAGAGGCCCCUUGCAGUUGUGUGUGUGUAUUCACGCGUGCAUCUCCAUUGGAUGCAUGGUUCUGUUCAGUUGGCCAAACCUGGGUGCACCGACCCCUCCCUCUGCCUCGCCCACUGUCUGCUGCCAGUCCUCAGGGUGUGUUAGCUUUGCCUCCUUGAUCUCCCCCUUCUCUGCUGCUCCUAUCCCCCCAACCCCCACAGUGACCUUGCCUGCUCGUCCCCACCAGGACCUCCCUGCUCCCAGUUCCCCCUCCCCCGAACAGCCCCCAGAGUCAGCUCAUAAAAUGCCAGCUGCUUUAACUGUGUCCACAUCACAUGAACAGGGAAAUCCUCAAAGGGGAAAUGCAUUCAGUAGGCAAACAUAUGGAAAGAUGUUCACCCUCACUAGUAAUCAAAGACUUACAGAUUAGAACCAGGCGGGAUGUUUUGCCUAUAAAAUGAGCACUUUUUAAAAAAAAAGAAAUGAAAAUAGCCAUGCUGUGAGAAU